GACGAACGCUGGCGGCGUGCUUAACACAUGCAAGUCGAACGAAGUGGCGAACGGGUGAGUAACGCGUAAUCAACCUGCCCUUCAGAGGGGGACAACAGUUGGAAACGACUGCUAAUACCGCAUACUGAAGGAGGGGAUUGCGUCUGAUUAGCUAGUGGGAGGGGUAACGGCCCACCAAGGCGAUGAUUAGUAGCCUGUCUGAGGGGAGGAACGGCCAAAAUGGGACUGCGAAACGGCCCAGAAUCCUACGGGAGGCAGCAGGGGGGAAUCUUCCGAAAUGGACGAAAGUCUGACGGAGCAACGCCGCGUGAGUGAUGACGGCCUUCGGGUUGUAAAGCUCUGUUAAUCGGGACGCGGUACCGGAAGAGAAAGCCACGGCUAACUACGUGCCAGCCGCCGCGGUAAUAC
rnacentral:rRNA from 1 species